GACGAACGCUGGCGGCGUGCUUAACACAUGCAAGUCGUGCGGUAAGGCCCUGCUUUGGUGGGGUACACGAGCGGCGAACGGGUGAGUAACACGUGGGUGACCUGCCUUCAGCUUUGGGAUAAGCCUGGGAAACUGGGUCUAAUACCGGAUAUGACCUUGGGGUGCAUGCCUUGGGGUGGAAAGCCUGUGCUGUUUGGCAUGGGUGGCUGGGGAUGGGCCCGCGGUCUAUCAGCUGUUGGUGGGGUGAUGGCCUACCAAGGCGACGACGGGUAGCCGGCCUGAGAGGGCGUUCGGCCACACUGGGACUGAGACACGGCCCAGACUCCUACGGGAGGCAGCAGUGGGGAAUAUUGCGCAAUGGGCGGAAGCCUGACGCAGCGACGCCGCGUGGGGGAUGACGGCCU
rnacentral:rRNA from 1 species